rnacentral:SRP_RNA from 1 species
GCUGGGCGUGGUGGCUCACGCCUGUAAUCCCAGCACUUUAGGAGGCUGAGGCAGGUGGAUCACUUGAGGUCAGGAGUUUAAGAGUAGCCUGGCCAACAUGUUGAAACCCUGUCUCUU